AAGUCGUAACAAGGUUUCCGUAGGUGAACCUGCGGAAGGAUCAUUAACACGUAUCCGACGUUAAACCCCUGUGAACCUUCAUUGUGCUCCCCCAUUCCGUUAUGCAAUCCCUGGUAAAUCAUCGCCGAACAGUUUUGAUUCAGGGACCUCUGCAUGGAGCGCGAGGCAAGUGGCCUGGCAUUCGAAAGAAUGGCGCAGUAACGAUCGCUAGAGGCCGGCGCCGGGUCACUGGGCUCACGCCCCCCUAUCACCUUUGCAUGAAAACGGGCCUGCGCUUAAUUGUGCGGCCACCAAACUCGAACAACUGUUAACAAUGGAUAUCUUGGUUCUC
rnacentral:misc_RNA from 1 species